GAUGAACGCUAGCUACAGGCUUAACACAUGCAAGUCGCGGGGCAGCAUGGGGGUUGCUUGCAAUCCCUGAUGGCGACCGGCGCACGGGUGAGUAACGCGUAUCCAACCUGCCCUUCACCACGGGAUAACCCGGCGAAAGUCGGACUAAUACCGUAUGUUGUCCAUUGACGGCAUCCGAUUUGGACGAAAGGCUUAGCGGUGAGGGAUGGGGAUGCGUCCGAUUAGCUCGACGGCGGGGUAACGGCCCACCGUGGCAACGAUCGGUAGGGGUUCUGAGAGGAAGGUCCCCCACACUGGAACUGAGACACGGUCCAGACUCCUACGGGAGGCAGCAGUGAGGAAUAUUGGUCAAUGGGCGGAAGCCUGAACCAGCCAAGUAGCGUGCAGGAUGACGGCCCUAUGGGUUGUAAACUGCUUUUAUGCGGGGAUAAAGGAGCCCACGUGUGGGUUUUUGCAGGUACCG
rnacentral:rRNA from 1 species